GCCGGAGUGGUGGAAUUGGUAGACACGCAAGACUUAAAAUCUUGUGACCUUCGGGUCGUGCGGGUUCAAGUCCCGCCUCUGGUA
rnacentral:tRNA from 3 species